AGAUGAGGACAUGUCAACCCAAAACUGGUCUUUCCUGAGGAUGAGGUCAAGUGAAAUCAUUUACCUUUUCUUGGGUGUUCUUAAUACACCAGUGGCAUCAGAGAGGGCAGACAGUUGUGUUUUGGGGGAAAUAAGCUGGCCAGGGAAGCCAAAGUAGGGGUUUGCUUGGGAACCAGUGAUGUGUCAGCUGGUGGCCUGGACCAGUCAGUGUGCCUGAGGGACUUGGGAUGAGAAACCCUAUGGUCUGGCUCUGGCAGGGGACAGUGGUGGCCGAGGGGCUGCCCAGUCCCACAAGGCUGCUGCCCCGUAGGGAGGCUGCAGACAUCUGACCCAACUAUUCUGUGAUCCUAUGUUCUUCCCAGCGCUGGCAUAUGAGAAGCUUUGAGGCAAUUUUUUUCUCUGUCGUUCAAGAAACCAGAAACUUGCAAGCUGUGAACAUGUUUCUGAAACAAAUUACCUGGAUUUUUUGCUUUCCACAGAACAAAACCUCAUCAGAAUUUCCAUCUUGCUGGAAAUACUGCUAUUUUGCUUUUUAAUUGUAACUUGAAACACCUGAAAAAGAGAACAUUGAAAUUCCCUAGGAGACAGAAAUUUUCAGUUUAGGCAUAUUUUUUUCACUCUUCAAGCUCCAGUUUCUGCAGAAGCUGAGGCAGAGGAACUGCAGAGAACAACCUGUGUCAUUGCACAGUUCAUUCUUGCCAGAACAACUCAGUUCUGUGCAGUGACCAAAGGAAACGGCCUGUAAAUAAAGAGCAAGUGACCAAGCAGCUAAUAACUUUAUUGCCAUGCGUAUAAGCAAUUAUAUUAAAUUAUUAUUUAAUUUUAAUUAAAUUUAAUUAUUAUUUAAUUUUAAUUAUAUUAAAUUUACAAGGUUUCCUUCUGGUCUUGCUUCACCCCUUCUGAGCACUGGUCUUUGCAACCUUAACAUUUUCAUUUGGGCAUACUUUGUGCUUUUGGAACUGUGCUUUGAUAACACACUGUGUAAUCUAAAGGGUUUUAAAGCCAUCCCAUUAGGAUACAAAGAAAAUGAGUGAGAAAAGAUGUUUUUGAAGUGGGGACAUAGCAAUGCAUGCCUCAAAAUUAAGUCCUGCGUUUGAGUCUGUACAUCACCUUUCUCUACUCUCUGCUCUGGAACUUGGAGUUCAGAUGAAUUCCUGUGUCGGGAUGUGAAAGAGAGAGCUGUCAUUAAUCAGCCGUUAAACCUUGCGGUGGUAUCUUGCAUGCAAAUUGUGGUGACUUUGAGGCAUCCAUCACACCGAGUCCAUCACUCUCAGACCUGUGCAACACCUAAUGAAUGGUGUGAGCUUCCAUCACAUGAAGACCUGAACCACAAGAAUAAGAAAGUGUAUGAACGAGGCACGAAGAAUAGACAGAUGCAAUCAUGAACUAUUGAAGACCUUCCAGUUCUUCCUACCUGAACUGAAAGUUCUGGCAUGUCAAAGGUCUAUGGCCAAUGUACAAUAUCAUGCUUUGUAUUCAAAUGGAUUUUGUUGAGAUGGUGCAUUAGUGUCCCCCUUGGUACUCCUUGAAGCAACCACUCACUACGUGGGAUGUGCAAGUCAAGCCUGGAAGAGAAGAGGGAAUUCUACUGAGCAUUUACUGCACGGGACGUUGUGUCAUACUGUUCCCAAGAGUCCGAAUGGGAGGUAAACAGCCACCUGGAGAGAGAGUAUAAGCCCCUCAUGAUUCCUGUCUUUCUACAAAACCUGGGUACAAAAUCUGUGCAUGUCACAUCACUGCCCAUGAUGCUAAGACUAGAUGCAGCUGUUUCUAACAGAAGUACCUUUUCUUUUUUCUGAUUAUAACACUGGAAAAAAAUCUGCAAAGGUGGAGACGAACUGGAAGAGGUCAUGGAGCAAAGAAAUGUCAUCCUGCUUUCUGAGGAUAUUCCUGAAUUAUUUCUAAUGCUCUACUGCAGUGAUCCAAAGGUGCAGCACCUGCCAGAAAUGGAGGGUAUGAAUGUUUUCAGAAAAGCGAAGUACAGCUGAUUCCAAGUGCAGUGAAUAAAAUGUUUGAAAACUGAA